rnacentral:rRNA from 1 species
CCUACGGGAGGCAGCAGUGAGGAAUAUUGGUCAAUGGGCGCGAGCCUGAACCAGCCAAGUCGCGUGAGGGAAGACGGUCCUAUGGAUUGUAAACCUCUUUUGUCGGGGAGCAAAAGACACCACGCGUGGCGUUCCGAGAGUACCCGAAGAAAAAGCAUCGGCUAACUCCGUGCCAGCAGCCGCGGUAAUACGGAGGAUGCGAGCGUUAUCCGGAUUUAUUGGGUUAAAAGGGUGCGCAGGCGGAAGAUCAAGUCAGCGGUAAAAUUGAGAGGCUCAACCUCUUCGAGCCGUUGAAACUGGUUGUCUUGAGGGAGUGAGAAGUAUGCGGAAUGCGUUGUGUAGCGGUGAAAUGCAUAGAUAUCACGCAGAACUCCGAUUGCGAAGGCAGCAUACCGGCGCUCAACUGACGCUCAUGCACGAAAGUGUGGGUAUCGAACAGGAUUAGAUACCCUUGUAGUC